rnacentral:rRNA from 1 species
AUGGGAGCUUGCUCCCUGAUGUUAGCGGCGCACGGGUGAGUAACACGUGGGUAACCUGCCUGUAAGACUGGGAUCACUCCGGGAAACCGGGGCUAAUACCGGAUGCUUGUUUGAACCGCAUGGUUCAAACAUAAAAGGUGGCUUCGGCUACCACUUACAGAUGGACCCGCGGCGCAUUAGCUAGUUGGUGAGGUAACGGCUCACCAAGGCAACGAUGCGUAGCCGACCUGAGAGGGUGAUCGGCCACACUGGGACUGAGACACGGCCCAGACUCCUACGGGAGGCAGCAGUAGGGAAUCUUCCGCAAUGGACGAAAGUCUGACGGAGCAACGCCGCGUGAGUGAUGAAGGUUUUCGGAUCGUAAAGCUCUGUUGUUAGGGAAGAACAAGUACCGUUCGAAUAGGGCGGUACCUUGACGGUACCUAACCAGAAAGCCACGGCUAACUACGUGCCAGCAGCCGCGGUAAUACGUAGGUGGCAAGCGUUGUCCGGAAUUAUUGGGCGUAAAGGGCUCGCAGGCGGUUUCUUAAGUCUGAUGUGAAAGCCCCCGGCUCAACCGGGGAGGGUCAUUGGAAACUGGGGAACUUG